rnacentral:hammerhead_ribozyme from 1 species
AUCCAGCCGAUGAGUCCCAAAUAGGAUGGAAUGCUCGUCCUGAAU